GCCUUAUCAGUAUUAAAUUUAUCAAAAAUCCCAAUAACUCAACACAGAAUUUGCACCCUAACCAAACAUUACAAACACCACUAGCUAACAUAACACGCCCAUACACAGACCACAAAAUGAAUUACCUACGCAAGGGGUAAUGUACAUAACAUUAAUGUAAUAAAGACAUAAUAUGUAUAUAGUACAUUAAAUUAUAUGCCCCAUGCAUAUAAGCAAGUACAUGACCUCUAUAGCAGUACAUAAUACAUAUAAUUAUUGACCGUACAUAGUACAUUAUGUCAAAUUCAUUCUUGAUAGUAUAUCUAUUAUAUAUUCCUUACCAUUAGAUCACGAGCUUAAUUACCAUGCCGCGUGAAACCAGCAACCCGCUAGGCAGGGAUCCCUCUUCUCGCUCCGGGCCCAUAAACCGUGGGGGUCGCUAUCCAAUGAAUUUUACCAGGCAUCUGGUUCUUUCUUCAGGGCCAUCUCAU
rnacentral:misc_RNA from 1 species